UUGAAAUAAAGCUUGGCCUAUAGACUGUUGCUGGCUCUUAGGAGCAUGUGCACGUCUAUUCCAACUUUUAAUCAACUUCCACCUGUGCACUUUAUGUAGAUCUGAAUUGCAUUUUUUUUCGAGUCAAAAGCUCGGUUUGAAGAAUUGCGUUUAAGCUCUUCUUUGUUAAUUCAGAGCUAUGUUUUAUUAUAACCCCACACAAAGUAACAGAAUGAUAUACAAAUAAAAUAUAAUA
rnacentral:misc_RNA from 1 species